ACGCUCGACACCUACAGGAGGCAGCAGUAGGGAAUCUUCCACAAUGGACGCAAGUCUGAUGGAGCAACGCCGCGUGAGUGAAGAAGGUCUUCGGAUCGUAAAACUCUGUUGUUAGAGAAGAACACGAGUGAGAGUAACUGUUCAUUCGAUGACGGUAUCUAACCAGCAAGUCACGGCUAACUACGUCNCGCAGCCGCGGUAAUCUGAGCGGGCUGGCAAGGC
rnacentral:rRNA from 1 species